rnacentral:rRNA from 1 species
UACGGGGGGGGUAAGCGUUGUUCGGAAUUACUGGGCGUAAAGGGCUCGUAGGCGGCCCACUAAGUCAGACGUGAAAUCCCUCAGCUUAACUGGGGAACUGCGUCUGAUACUGGAUGGCUUGGAUUUGGGAGAGGGAUGCGGAAUUCCAGGUGUAGCGGUGAAAUGCGUAGAUAUCUGGAGGAACACCGGUGGCGAAGGCGGCAUCCUGGACCAACAUUGACGCUGAGGAGCGAAAGCCAGGGGAGCAAACGGG